GUGUUUGCUUUGGCAGCACAUAUACUAAAAUUCGAACAAUCCAGAGUAGAUUAGCAUCAUUCUUGUACAAGGAUGACACACAAAUUUGUGAAGGGUUUCACGUUAAA
ensembl:snRNA U6 U6 spliceosomal RNA